AAUAAAAAAAAAAAAAAAAAGUUAUAGCUUGUGAAAUACAAUCGAAAGGGCAGAAUGUGGAUUAUAGCCAUAAUUGCCUACAGAAAAAUGCUAUGAUUGUUGAUAAAAUUUAAAUAAUUAGACACCUAACUGAAAAAUAUUUCGUAUAAUCAAUAGCAUCUAAUAAUAUUGAUCAGCACGACAACAUCACAAAAACAACUAGGUUCUUAUCAGUUAUCACAGCUAAUAAAGAAUAGUUGUGUCAUCCUCUAUACCAUAAUUGGUAAAAUAAAUAUCCAUGAUUAUCCAAAACUAAAUAAUGUUUAAUAUAUCAACUUCCAAAUAUGCACAUGACACAAAAAAAAUAUUUGAUUGAUUUCUAUUUCAACAAAAGAAAAGUAAAAAAUAAUUGACAUCAACAUAAAAAUUUAAUUUAUAUUUCUAUCGCACUAACUUGAUUGCACAGGAUAUUUAGACCAUGCAAAAUUCAUAGAAAAUGGUAUAUCUAGAGAAACAUAGGUUAAUCAAAACAGAAAUAGCCAUCCUGCAAAUAAUUGCACAAUGAUAGGAAAUGCUAGUUCAUUCUGCAAAUACUUUUUCACUCAUCCAAAAAAUUGGGUUCUUAGACAUCUAUACAGGAUCCCAUUGGCGUCAAUUUCACACAAAGCAAAAGGGGCUACAAUUCACUGAUAGGUCAUUUUCAUAUGCCAUUCAUUUCCAACUAAACAGAACAAGAUUUAAAAUAGAUUCAUGUAAAUUUAAGUUAUCCACUGCUAAAUUACUACUAAAAAUGAAACUUAAUGUAGGCUAUGGCAUCUCUUUUGUUCUUAGCAAGCAGUUGCAAGAUAUGAAAUUAGUAUCACAAUUUGCAUUAGAAUUGCCAAUGUAAUUUUCUCUGAAUACUAAAAUGGUUAUAUCUUCCCAAGCUAGAAGGAAAGUGGACCAUAAUCCUAUCAUCAACAUGCAAAUGCAGAGGAAUGUGUGUUUUACAGUGAAAUGAAAAAUCUUACCGGAGUUAAAAGAAAAAUAAAAUAAAAUAA
rnacentral:misc_RNA from 1 species